CACACACAACACAACACUUACCUGGAGGAGAUGUGGAGGGAGCUUCUGGUCUGGUGGGAGACAGGAAUCUCUGCAGUGGACCUCAGUCAUCUGAGCAGCUGCUGGGGCUUCCAACGGUGAGUGUUUGACCCUGUGAUUCCCUGUAGGUUUGUAAUCUUGGGUUGGUUUUGUGGUUUUUGUGGUGUUGCUGUUUGAGGGUGAGUUUGUGCCUGUCUGUGUCUGUUUCAAAAC